CCUACGGGAGGCAGCAGUGGGGAAUAUUGCACAAUGGGGGAAACCCUGAUGCAGCGACGCCGCGUGAGUGAAGAAGUAUUUCGGUAUGUAAAGCUCUAUCAGCAGGGAAGAAAAUGACGGUACCUGAUUAAUAAGCCCCGGCUAACUACGGGCCAGCAGCCGCGGUAAGACGUAGGGGGCAAGCGUUCUCCGGAUUUACUGGGUGUAAAGGGAGCGGAGACGGCAGCACAAGUCUGGAGUGAAAUGCCGGGGCUUAACCCCGGAACUGCUUUGGAAACUGGGAAGCUAGAGUGCAGGAGAGGGAAGUGGAAUUCCUAGUGUAGCGGUGAAAUGCGUAGAUAUUAGGAGGAACACCAGUGGCGAAGGCGGCUUACUGGACUGUAACUGACGUUGAGGCUCGAAAGCGUGGGGAGCAAACAGGAUUAGAUACCCCUGUAGUC
rnacentral:rRNA from 1 species